CAAAAACCUGGGAUGAGAACAUGAACAAUGACCCACCACUGCAAUCCACAACUUUACACCCCCCUAUAGAGGUAGUAUUAAAGAAGAAGGAACAAAAGUGGUGGUAGUUAUGCAGACACUUGUCUCAAAGGUGCAGGCUGGAAUGAGUUUACAAGGUGCCCAGUGGUUCCUCACUGUACUGAAGGGGUGUGAAGUGAGCAGAAAGCAGAUGUAUAGCUGAAGAUGAAAUCAAUACCC